UAAAGGCAUAGAUCAUCAAGAACAAAGAGAACGUGAGAGCAGAUGGAAUUGGUGUAUUUUCCUGUCUUCAUUUGCAUUGCUGUGAUAAGCAGGUCUUGGUGAAUCUCAUGUCUUUGACAUAGAUGAAGACUAAGAGAUGAAACUCAUUCCAUGUGCAGUGAGGAACCACAGAGUAAUUUACAAGCCAGCUGGGCUGACUUGGAAGGCCUUCAUGGAGGAGCUACUCAGCAGGGCCCUCUCCUGGCCUUGUGACGGGCCACCUGCAAGUCGUCUUUCUGUUUUCACUCCCGGGCAUGGCCAGAGCCCUAGACUCCAGCCCCCGAACUACCUUCAUGAGCUGUCGAAACCAAAGCCUUUCUUGGGCUAGGUUUUAUCCCAUCUUACCCUAGAUAUAUUCUUUAAUUCACACACACAUGCGCAUCCUUUCCUUUCCGAUGAACAAGAUGAAGGCGAGAGAAAGGAAGGUGAUGGAUCCCAGAGAACAGACAGAUUCUUUUAUCUCAAGUCCUUUGCUUCUGUGGUUCACGGGACUUUGGUUUUGGAGUCUCAGCCCAAUUUUAACGUUCAAGCUGCCUAUUACUGGUGGAAAAAGGGGGGGAAGAAAGAGCCGCUUCCCUGUCUCUUUGCCUUAAUCUGCCGUGCACGUGGACAUGUGUGCAGCUGACCCAAACCUCGCUGACAUGUCAGCGUGCAGCCCGCAGGGCGAGGGGCGUUUGAUUUAUAAAUGGAAUGUAUAAUAGGCACGGUGCCUUCUGAGCCGAACGUUCAUGGAAAAAUCACAUGCCGCUCACAUGAGGGACCAAGAUCUUUUUUUAUUAUUUUAAUGAAUUGAGUUUUUUCAGUGCACCAGGGAGAUAAGAAGAUACCUGCCAAUAACCCUCUGAUUGUGUCCUCGGCCAAUGGGUGGGCUUCAAUACCGGUACUCCUCUUGUCAAUUGAGUUUGUGUGUUAAGUCAAGGUUUAGCUUUGGAUUUGAAGCUCUCCCUCAAACAAAGCCACAGACGCUCCGACGGUGGAAACCAUCGCAUAAUUCUCCUCUUUGUUUCUUUAAAGAGCACGGGGUUGGUUAAAAAAAAAAAAAAUCCAUUUUGGGAAGACUGGGUCUGGAGAUAAUGAUAGAGAAGAUGAGAAAAGACAGCAGGUUGUAAGUUCUGGCCUAAGUUCGGAAACAGGCGGGGAAAAAAAAAAAAAAGGUUGAAAAGGUAA